AGCAUUUAUACAGCGAAACUGCGAAUGGCUCAUUAUAUAAGUUAUCGUUUAUUUGAUAGUACCUUACUACAUGGAUAACCGUGGUAAUUCUAGAGCUAAUACAUGCUAAAAAUCCCGACUUCGGAAGGGAUGUAUUUAUUAGAUUAAAAACCAAUGCCCUCUGGGCUCCUUGGUGAUUCAUGAUAACUUCUCGAAUCGCAUGGCCUUGUGCCGGCGAUGGUUCAUUCAAAUUUCUUCCCUAUCAACUUUCGAUGUUUGGGUAUUGGCCAAACAUGGUCGCAACGGGUAACGGAGGGUUAGGGCUCGACCCCGGAGAAGGAGCCUGAGAAACGGCUACUACAUCCAAGGAAGGCAGCAGGCGCGCAAAUUACCCAAUCCCGACACGGGGAGGUAGUGACAAUAAAUACUGAUACAGGGCUCUUUCGGGUCUUGUAAUUGGAAUGAGUACAAUUUAAAUCCCUUAACGAGGAACAAUUGGAGGGCAAGUCUGGUGCCAGCAGCCGCGGUAAUUCCAGCUCCAAUAGCGUAUAUUAAAGUUGUUGUGGUUAAAAAGCUCGUAGUUGAACCUUGGGCCUGGCUGUCCGGUCCGCCUCACCGCGUGUACUGGUUCGGCCGGGCCUUUCCCUCUGUGGAACCUCAUGCCCUUCACUGGGCGUGACGGGGAAACAGGACUUUUACUGUGAAAAAAUUAGAGUGCUCCAGGCAGGCCUAUGCUCGAAUACAUUAGCAUGGAAUAAUGAAAUAGGACGUGCGGUUCUAUUUUGUUGGUUUCUAGGACCGCCGUAAUGAUUAAUAGGGACAGUCGGGGGCAUCAGUAUUCAAUUGUCAGAGGUGAAAUUCUUGGAUUUAUUGAAGACUAACUACUGCGAAAGCAUUUGCCAAGGAUGUUUUCAUUAAUCAGGAACGAAAGUUAGGGGAUCGAAGACGAUCAGAUACCGUCGUAGUCUUAACCAUAAACUAUGCCGACUAGGGAUCGGACGAUGUAAAUAAUUGACUCGUUCGGCACCUUACGAGAAAUCAAAGUGUUUGG
rnacentral:rRNA from 1 species